AGUCCACUCUCCUGCAUAAAGCAGCUGCUGGGGGCCACACCGGGACUUGUGAAGUUCUUAUUCGUGCUGGAGCCGAUGUUACGACUAAAGAUAAGGACCAGUCCACUCCCGUGCAUAAAGCUGCUGCUGGAGGCCACGACCGGACUUGUGAGCUUCUGAUUCGUGCUGGAGCAGACUUUAAGUUCACUAUAAACAGGGACCAGGACACACUCCUGCAUCGAGCAGCUGGUAGGGGUGACACCAGGACCUGUGAGCUUCUGAUCAGUUUGGGAGCUGAUGUUAUGGUCCAGA